rnacentral:rRNA from 1 species
UACGGGGGGGGCAAGCGUUGUUCGGAAUUACUGGGCGUAAAGGGCUCGUAGGCGGCCAACUAAGUCAGACGUGAAAUCCCCAGGCUCAACCUGGGAACUGCGUCUGAUACUGGAUGGCUUGAGUUUGGGAGAGGGAUGCGGAAUUCCAGGUGUAGCGGUGAAAUGCGUAGAUAUCUGGAGGAACACCGGUGGCGAAGGCGGCAUCCUGGACCAACACUGACGCUGAGGAGCGAAAGCCAGGGGAGCAAACGGG